UUAGAGUUUCAGGUUGGAGACCAUGUUUUUCUUAAAGUCUCGCCGUCCAGAGGGAUACGCAGAUUUGGAGUACGUGGAAAGCUCAGUCCGCGUUUUGUUGGGCCCUUUGAGGUAUUGGAGCGUAUUGGACCGGUCGCUUACAGGAUAGCGCUACCACCGCGACUUGCCGGCAUUCAUGAUGUGUUCCACGUCUCGGCUUUGAGGAAAUAUGUGUUUGAUCCCUCCCACGUGAUUGACUUCACUCCACUUGAGAUUGGUGAGGAUCUGAGAUACGAGGAGCGACCGUUGCGGAUUCUUGCUCGGGAGACGAAAGAAUUGCGCAAUCGGGUCAUCCCGUAUGUAAAGGUGCAGUGGAGCAAUCAUGAGGAGCGGGAGGCGACUUGGGAGCCCGAGACGGUGAUGAGGGAGGCCUACCCCUACUUGUUCGAGUCCUGAGUUGAGGCCGGUUGGGAGCACGGUUGAGGACUUCGUCGCCGACGUCGCGCCGCGAGCCGUUCGAGCGCACGUGUUGCCGGGGCACUGCGAGGAGGCCGGGCGAGGGUGCGUCUUCGCCGUUCCUGUCGCCGCACCGCCGUUCAUCGCUGUUGAGAUUUCCUGCGUCGACUGUUAGUAUUUCGGCUCGUUCUCCGCGUAGGAGCGUCGGAUCGCGACGAAACUUGGUUCAUUGGAUUCUAGACUGCGAGAGGAUUCCAUAGAGCCCUCAUUUGCAAU